UAUGUACUCCCUUCUUCCGAAAAUACUUCUCAUAUAGAUGAAUGUAUCUACAUGUAUUUUUGUUUUAAAUACAUUCAUUUUUAUACAUUUGUGCGACAAGUAAUUCCGGACGAAGAAAGUAUUUC
rfam:Hordeum vulgare subsp. vulgare, WGS project CAJW01000000 data, contig: morex_contig_1564252